rnacentral:misc_RNA from 1 species
UAAAGAGGUUAGUAAGGUUAAGAAUUCACAUGGUUAAAUUUGAUAAAACUUAAAGUACAAUUUAUUUAAUCAUGAAAGUUUGAUCAAAUCUAUUAUUAUGUUUAUUAAGGAACAAGUAUAUUAGUUAUCGUGAUGUCAUUCCUUAAAAGUAAAACAUUGCGUUAUGGUGUUCCAUUUGUAGUUUUAAUCGUUGGUGGAUCGUUUGGACUCAGAGAAUUUACACAGUUGAGAUACACGUACAGACAACAAACAGCGUAUUACACAGAAUCAAAGAAAUUAGGUAUAGAAGUUAAAAAACCAGGUGAAGUUACUUUAGAAAGCGAAUAUGAAAAAUUAAAACAACUGGAUAUUAAUAAUUGGAAAAAUAUUAGAGUACCAAGGCCCUGGGAAGAAUAAAUAAAAGAACCCCCAAAAAUUAGUUAGUUCUUACAUAAAAAAUAGGCAGUGUGUUUUAAUGUAGAACUUGGCAGUGCUAAUGUAUAAUUCGAAUAACACUCAUAAAGAUUUAAUUGAUUUCAUUCUAACUU